rnacentral:misc_RNA from 1 species
AAACAGGUAGCAUUCCUCAGGGACAUCGAGCCACGAGACGUAAAACAUUUACGCGACGUCGAGCGUCGAUCGAAUGGGGCGUUUAAUGCCAAUUCGUGGGCAAAUAGAGAGGUCGAAGACCCCUUACCCGCAGUGUUUUCCGCAUCCCAAAAGUCUAGCUACGGUCGUGUGCCGCGAUGCAUAGCAUUCUAUGCAAAUCGGAACACAAAUUUCGCUUUGAGGUUCACCCGAAGCCGCACCGUGUAGACGGGCAGUAAUAGGAGAACUUUGUAAAGAUUGCCCGCACAAUUCCGUCAAUGUAGGUAUGCAACACAGGAAACCGGAAACUCGGCCAAGGCGUAAACAGCUCUUGUGCCAACAAAUGAAGAGGAAUGCACGAAAGGACGUCGCUACCCAAGUAGGGAUCCAA